UAAGGAAUAUUGGUCAAUGGACGCAAGUCUGAACCAGCCAUGCCGCGUGAAGGAUGAAGGUCCUCUGGAUUGUAAACUUCUUUUAUAUGGGACGAAACCCCUUUUUCUUGAGGGACUGACGGUACCAUAGGAAUAAGCACCGGCUAACUCCGUGCCAGCAGCCGCGGUAAUACGGAGGGUGCAAGCGUUAUCCGGAUUCACUGGGUUUAAAGGGUGCGUAGGAGGGCAGGUAAGUCAGUGGUGAAAUCUCCGAGCUUAACUUGGAAACUGCCGUUGAUACUAUCUGCCUUGAAUAUUGUGGAGGUGAGCGGAAUAUGUCAUGUAGCGGUGAAAUGCUUAGAUAUGACAUAGAACACCAAUUGCGAAGGCAGCUCGCUACGCAUAUAUUGACUCUGAGGCACGAAAGCGUGGGGAUCAAACA
rnacentral:rRNA from 1 species